UGCUAAACUACGUUUUAUCCUAAGACAGCAAGUGGUGAGUGAAAUCGAACCAUAAAUCUUGCCGAGGGCCAGUCAGUUUAUAAAGUUACAGGUUUGUAAAGUUAUAAAGUUGCGUCCUCGAGGGCGCUUUUUUAUUGCUCCA
rfam:Candidatus Levybacteria bacterium RIFCSPHIGHO2_02_FTLL_40_18 rifcsphigho2_02_scaffold_244, whole genome shotgun sequence.